rnacentral:rRNA from 1 species
GAUGAACGCUGGCGGCGUGCCUAAUACAUGCAAGUCGAGCGAACAGACGAGGAGCUUGCUCCUCUGACGUUAGCGGCGGACGGGUGAGUAACACGUGGAUAACCUACCUAUAAGACUGGGAUAACUUCGGGAAACCGGAGCUAAUACCGGAUAAUAUAUUGAACCGCAUGGUUCAACAGUGAAAGACGGUUUUGCUGUCACUUAUAGAUGGAUCCGCGCCGCAUUAGCUAGUUGGUAAGGUAACGGCUUACCAAGGCAACGAUGCGUAGCCGACCUGAGAGGGUGAUCGGCCACACUGGAACUGAGACACGGUCCAGACUCCUACGGGAGGCAGCAGUAGGGAAUCUUCCGCAAUGGGCGAAAGCUUGACGGAGCAACGCCGCGUGAGUGAUGAAGGUCUUCGGAUCGUAAAACUCUGUUAUUAGGGAAGAACAAAUGUGUAAGUAACUAUGCACGUCUUGACGGUACCUAAUCAGAAAGCCACGGCUAACUACGUG